GGGAGACUCUGUUUCUAGAACGGAAGCUGAGGCAGUUUCCAGUGGGAGAAGCACGCGGGUCAAGUGUCUGCUCCGAUGAGCCGGCAGCGUGGCUGAACACACUCCGACGAGCUCACCUCCCGGAAACUCCUGCGUGCAUGCGAAUGAGGAGCAUUUCCAGUUUGUGUUUACAAGCUCCUGCAAACAAGAGCUGGGCUGUUCUCCCGAGUCAGAGGUGCGUGACUCAAAAUCGCACUAUCUGGAAAUUCAAUGAGAGGAUUCUUUUGUCCACAAAUUCCUCGCCCUUUCAACAAUCAAAAAACGAUGGCUAUGUCAAACACGA
rnacentral:lncRNA from 1 species